rnacentral:rRNA from 1 species
GUUCUCCGCAUCGGGACUUCCAUCUCGGUGGGUUCCGGGGCGUCGACGUUGUUCUGGUUUGAUCGGUGGGCCGGAGACGCCCCCUUCGCGGCGCGCUUUCCCGGCCUCUUCUCCAUCUCGGUCGAUCUUGUGAUCUCCGUCGAGAGGGCCCUUAUUGACUUAGGGCGCCUCGCCUUCCGGAGGCCAUUUGGACCCCCGGAGUCAGCCGCUUGGCGUGAGUUACUGGACUGUGUUGCCCUCCACGAGCUGAUGGUGGAUGGUGGACCCGACCAGGUGUGUUGGCGCCUGGAGCCUUCUGGCCAGUUUUCCACCAAGUCUCUCUACCUGGCCAUCGCUCCCUCCUCCACCCCUCCCCCCCUUACGACGGUGUGGUCCAUCCGCCUGCCUCUGAAGAUCCGGAUCUUCAUGUGGCAAUGGAUUCGCGGCCGGGUCCCGUCUGGGGUCGAGGUUCGCAAGCGAAAUGGCCUAGGCACUGGCAUCUGCCCGCUCUGCGGUGUCCCCGAAGACUCGAAUCACAUCUUCUUCUCCUGUGUGUCCGCUCAAUUCGUUCGGAGCUGCUUUCACGAAGCGGUCUGUGGAAAUUGGUGCCACACCAACUUUUCCGGCUUAUUUGCCGAACUCUAG